UACGUAGGGCGCAAGCGUUGUCCGGAAUUAUUGGGCGUAAAGAGCUCGUAGGCGGUUUGUCGCGUCUGCUGUGAAAACUCGAGGCUCAACCUCGGGCUUGCAGUGGGUACGGGCAGACUAGAGUGCGGUAGGGGAGACUGGAAUUCCUGGUGUAGCGGUGGAAUGCGCAGAUAUCAGGAGGAACACCGAUGGCGAAGGCAGGUCUCUGGGCCGCAACUGACG
rnacentral:rRNA from 1 species